rnacentral:tRNA from 1 species
CCGCGCGUUGAACUGCCUAGCAUUUUUCCCAGACUACGAAUCUGGGGGUCAGGAGUUCGAAUCUCUUCGGGUGCGCCA